AGGAUUAACGCUGGCGGCGUGCCUAACACAUGCAAGUCGAACGAGGUAGCAAUACCUAGUGGCAGACGGGUGAGUAACGCGUGGUCAACCUACCCUUGAGUGGGGGAUAACCUAGGGAAACCUGGGCUAAUACCGCAUAAUACCUUCGGGUCAAAGGAGCAAUUCGCUUAAGGAGGGGGUCGCGGCCGAUUAGUUAGUUGGCGGGGUAAUGGCCCACCAAGACUAUGAUCGGUAUCC
rnacentral:rRNA from 1 species